CCUACGGGUGGCUGCAGUGGGGAAUAUUGGACAAUGGGCGAAAGCCUGAUCCAGCCAUGCCGCGUGUGUGAAGAAGGCCUUCGGGUUGUAAAGCACUUUCAGUGGGGAAGAAAGCCUUGGGGCUAAUACCCUCGAGGAAGGACAUCACCCACAGAAGAAGCACCGGCUAACUCCGUGCCAGCAGCCGCGGUAAUACGGAGGGUGCGAGCGUUAAUCGGAAUUACUGGGCGUAAAGCGCGCGUAGGCGGUCUGAUAAGCCGGUUGUGAAAGCCCCGGGCUCAACCUGGGAACGGCAUCCGGAACUGUCAGGCUAGAGUGCAGGAGAGGAAGGUAGAAUUCCCGGUGUAGCGGUGAAAUGCGUAGAGAGCGGGAGGAAUACCAGUGGCGAAGGCGGCCUUCUGGACUGACACUGACGCUGAGGUGCGAAAGCGUGGGUAGCAAACAGGAUUAGAUACCCGGGUAGUC
rnacentral:rRNA from 1 species